UACGGAGGGUGCAAGCGUUAUCCGGAUUCACUGGGUUUAAAGGGUGCGUAGGCGGGCAGGUAAGUCCGUGGUGAAAUCUCUGAGCUUAACUCAGAAACUGCCAUGGAUACUAUUUGUCUUGAAUAUUGUGGAGGUAAGCGGAAUAUGUCAUGUAGCGGUGAAAUGCUUAGAUAUGAUAUAGAACACCGAUUGCGAAGGCAGCUUACUAAACAAUUAUUGACGCUGAGGCACGAAAGCGUGGGGAUCAAACAGG
rnacentral:rRNA from 1 species